rnacentral:rRNA from 1 species
UGGGGGAUAACGUUCGGAAACGGACGCUAAUACCGCAUACGUCCUACGGGAGAAAGCAGGGGACCUUCGGGCCUUGCGCUAUCAGAUGAGCCUAGGUCGGAUUAGCUAGUUGGUGAGGUAAUGGCUCACCAAGGCGACGAUCCGUAACUGGUCUGAGAGGAUGAUCAGUCACACUGGAACUGAGACACGGUCCAGACUCCUACGGGAGGCAGCAGUGGGGAAUAUUGGACAAUGGGCGAAAGCCUGAUCCAGCCAUGCCGCGUGUGUGAAGAAGGUCUUCGGAUUGUAAAGCACUUUAAGUUGGGAGGAAGGGCAGUUACCUAAUACGUGAUUGUUUUGACGUUACCGACAGAAUAAGCACCGGCUAACUCUGUGCCAGCAGCCGCGGUAAUACAGAGGGUGCAAGCGUUAAUCGGAAUUACUGGGCGUAAAGCGCGCGUAGGUGGUUUGUUAAGUUGGAUGUGAAAUCCCCGGGCUCAACCUGGGAACUGCAUUCAAAACUGACUGACUAGAGUGUGGUAGAGGGUGGUGGAAUUUCCUGUGUAGCGGUGAAAUGCGUAGAUAUAGGAAGGAACACCAGUGGCGAAGGCGACCACCUGGACCAACACUGACACUGAGG